UACGUAGGGGGCAAGCGUUGUCCGGAAUCAUUGGGCGUAAAGAGCGUGUAGGCGGCCAGAUAAGUCCGCUGUGAAAACUCGAGGCUCAACUUCGAGCUGUCGGUGGAAACUAUUUGGCUAGAGUCCGGAAGAGGAGAGUGGAAUUCCUGGUGUAGCGGUGAAAUUCGUAGAUAUUCGCAAGAACACCAGUGGCGAAGGCGGCUCACUGGCCCGAUACUGACGCUGAGGCACGAAAGCGUGGGGAGCAAACAGG
rnacentral:rRNA from 1 species